rnacentral:rRNA from 1 species
GCAAGUCGAGCGGUAACAUUUCAAAGCUGGUUUUGAAGAUGAAGCGCGGCGGACGGGUGAGUAAUGCUUGGGAAUAUGCCUUAUGGUGGGGGACAACAGUUGGAAACGACUGCUAAUACCGCAUAACGUCUACGGACCAAAGGGGGGGAUCUUCGGACCUCUCGCCAUUUGAUUAGCCCAAGUGAGAUUAGCUAGUAGGUGAGGUAAAGGCUCACCAAGGCGACGAUCUCUAGCUGGUUUGAGAGGAUGAUC